UAACGAAUCUUCCGCAAUGGGCGAAAGCCUGACGGAGCGACGCCGCGUGUAGGAGGAAGUCCUUCGGGAUGUAAACUACUUUUAGGGGGACGAAAACAAAGCAGGCUAAUACCCUGUGAGUUGAUCUACCCCAGAAAAAGCCACGGCUAACUCUGUGCCAGCAGCCGCGGUAAGACAGAGGUGGCAAGCGUUGUUCGGAAUCACUGGGCUUAAAGCGCGUGUAGGCGGCUCUGUAAGUGUCUUGUGAAAUCCCUCGGCUCAACCGAGGAAUGGCUGGGCAUACUGCAGGGCUUGAGGCAGGUAGGGGUCACUGGAACUCUAGGUGGAGCGGUGAAAUGCGUAGAUAUCUAGAGGAACGCCCGGGGCGAAAGCGGGUGACUGGGCCUGUCCUGACGCUGAGACGCGAAAGCGUGGGGAGCAAACGGGAUUAGAUACCCCCGUAGUCC
rnacentral:rRNA from 1 species